CCUACGGGUGGCAGCAGUCGAGAAUCAUUCACAAUGGGGGAAACCCUGAUGGUGCGACGCCGCGUGGGUGAAUGAAGGUCUUCGGAUUGUAAACCCCUGUCAUGUGGGAGCAAAUUAAAAAGAUAGUACCACAAGAGGAAGAGACGGCUAACUCUGUGCCAGCAGCCGCGGGAAUACAGAGGUCUCAAGCGUUGUUCGGAAUCACUGGGCGUAAAGCGUGCGUAGGCUGUUUCGUAAGUCGUGUGUGAAAGGCGCGGGCUCAACCCGCGGACGGCACAUGAUACUGCGAGACUAGAGUAAUGGAGGGGGAAGCGGAAGUCUCGGUGUAGCAGUGAAAUGCGUAGAUAUCGAGAGGAACACUCGUGGCGAAGGCGGGUUCCUGGACAUUAACUGACGCUGAGGCACGAAGGCCAGGGGAGCGAAAGGGAUUAGAUACCCGGGUAGUC
rnacentral:rRNA from 1 species